rnacentral:lncRNA from 1 species
AAAAAUUAAAAUUUAUUAUUAAAAGGGUUUGGAUAUAUUGAUUUACCAAUGUUUUAUAACUAAAUUUAUUUGAAUAAUGUUUCAGUUGUCCACAUAUAUAAGGUUUGGAUAUAACAACUACAUAUAUUCAAACAUUUGUAUUACACAAAGUCUGUACACUAACAUAAUAAAAUUACAAAAAAAUUAAUUAUUCAUCAUCUGAACUAUAAUAACUUUCGUUAUCGUCGCUAUCAUCACUUUCGGUCUCCCAAUCCUCCUCCUCCUCGUCUACUAUAACUACAUCAUCUUCGCUGCUCGGGCCCACUACAACAUCGAAUCUUGGAAGAUCCCCGAGGUCAAUUGUAAUUGACUGAAUCCGUAUUUCGAUUGAAGACACUCCUUGUAUUUGAAACGGUUCUUGUAUAACAUGUGUAUCUCGAAGUGUUUCCGCAUCAUUUUCCAUUGAUGAUUCUAAACAUUGGUCAGCCACAUUGUCGACGUCGUUGUCAGUUAUGUCUAAUUCUGGUAUAGCAUACACGUUCCUAUGAUCCAUCUUCUAAACAACUUUCCAACUGCUCCCGGCUUUAGGGUAAUCUAGAUACACAAUUUGUGUUGUCAUGUUCGCCAAAAUGUAAGGGUCGUCAUCAUACCAAGUUCUGUUAAUGUUCGCAGAUAGUAAGCCAUGGUCGAUUUUAACACUUCUCGGCCUAUUUGGGUUGCUAUCAAACCAUCGACACUUAAACAUGAUCACUUGGUAUCGAUCUUUGUAAAGCAAUUGAACGACACUUGUGAGUUUGCCAUAGAAAUCAAUGUUCGUACUUUCGCCUCCACCUGGGACAUGG